rnacentral:rRNA from 1 species
CACUCCUACGGGAGGCAGCAGUGGGGAAUUUUGGACAAUGGGCGAAAGCCUGAUCCAGCAAUGCCGCGUGAGUGAAGAAGGCCUUCGGGUUGUAGAGCUCUUUUGUCAGGGAAGAAACGGUGAGAGCUAAUAUCUUUUGCUAAUGACGGUACCUGAAGAAUAAGCACCGGCUAACUACGUGCCAGCAGCCGCGGUAAUACGUAGGGUGCAAGCGUUAAUCGGAAUUACUGGGCGUAAAGCGUGCGCAGGCGGUUUUGUAAGUCAGAUGUGAAAUCCCCGGGCUCAACCUGGGAAUUGCAUUGGGGACUAAAAGGCUAGAAUCUGGCAGAGGGGGGUAGAAUUCCACGUGUAGCAGUGAAAUGCGUAGAUAUGUGGAGGAACACCGAUGGCGAAGGCAGCCCCCUGGGUCAAGAUUGACGCUCAUGCACGAAAGCGUGGGGAGCAAACAGGAUUAGAUACCCCGGUAGUCCCAUGA